rnacentral:rRNA from 1 species
UGAAGGCCUUCGGGUUGUAAACUGCUUUUGUACGGAACGAAACGGUGAGCUCUAAUACAGUUUGCUAAUGACGGUACCGUAAGAAUAAGCACCGGCUAACUACGUGCCAGCAGCCGCGGUAAUACGUAGGGUGCGAGCGUUAAUCGGAAUUACUGGGCGUAAAGCGUGCGCAGGCGGUGAUGUAAGACAGAUGUGAAAUGCCCGGGCUCAACCUGGGACCUGCAUUUGUGACUGCAUCGCUAGAGUACGGUAGAGGGGGAUGGAAUUCCGCGUGUAGCAGUGAAAUGCGUAGAUAUGCGGAGGAACACCGAUGGCGAAGGCAAUCCCCUGGACCUGUACUGACGCUCAUGCACGAAAGCGUGGGGAGCAAACAGGAUUAGAUACCCUGGUAGUCCACGCCCUAAACGAUGUCAACUGGUUGUUGGGUCUUCACUGACUCAGUAACGAAGC